AACCGGACCAAGGAUUUUAUAUGAUCGCGAGUCAAAGGGCUUUACGAAACCCCAGGGCGUAAUUAAUGUAAAGAUUCACUUUAGUGAAUUGCAAUGUGACCUCGCUGUAAAAAGCUUGUGCAACAUUGACCCGUCUAAAGAUGUUCGCUUCUGGACGGAGUUUGAGCGAUCAUGUUAGAGACCCGAAAGAUGGUGAACUAUGCUUGUGCAGGUUGAAGUCAGAGGAAACCCUGAUGGAAGACCGCCGCGGUUCUGACGUGCAAAUCGAUCGUCGGACAUGAGUAUAGGGGCGAAAGACUAAUCGAACCAUCUAGUAGCUGGUUCCCUCCGAAGUUUCCCUCAGGAUAGCUGGCAUUUGUUGUCGUAGUUUUACCUGGUAAAGCGAAUGAUUAGAAGUAUUGGGGACGAAAUGUCCUCAACUUAUUCUCAAACUUUAAAUGGGUUCGAAGUGCAUCUCUCUUCAUUGGAGAUGUACAUUGAAUACGAAUGCCUAGUGGGCCAUUUUUGGUAAGCAGAACUGGCGAUGUGGGAUGAACCAAACAUUUGGUUAAGGUGCCUAACAUCACGCUCAUGAGAACCACAAAAGUGUUGGUUGAUAAAGACAGCAGGACGGUGGACAUGGAAGUUGUCAUCCGCUAAGGAGUGUGUAACAACUCACAUGCCGAAUCAACCAGCCCUGAAAAUGGAUGGCGCUGUAGCGUGAGACAUAUACCAAAUCGGUAUCGUAUGUUUUGGUUCGUAAGAAUUGAGAGUAGUAAGCGGUAUCGUGUAGGAGGGUGCCGUGGUUGCUAAGAAGCUACCAGCGUAAGUUGGAGUGGAGCGGUCACGGGUACAGAUCUUGGUAGUAGUAGCAAUUAUUCAAGUGAGUCC
rnacentral:rRNA from 1 species